rnacentral:snoRNA from 1 species
AAUCCAUGAUUUGGGCAUUUCUUGAGCAUAGAUUUGAAUCUAUCCCAAGAUUCACAAAGACUUUCCCCCACAGGUUGAACAAAGGUGGAUAUUGCUGUUUUUAGAUC